rnacentral:lncRNA from 1 species
GCAAUGUCGCCAAACCCAAUUUCUCUCACGGUUCGGGCUCUGUUUGCCAAAUGAGGACUCAGUGUUCAAACUAGCUCUUCCAUGGGGAAGCAGAUGUGACGCCGCAGUUGGGAGGACCGCGCGAGCGCCAGAAAAUAUCUCAGCCCUGCUCAGUGGCCGGUCGGGAACGCGGCGCUCUGAUUGGCCGGCCGGAGCCUCCACGCCGUCGUCAGCCCUGGGAGCGGAGUCUGCGCGUGAAACGCCCGGAUGCAGAAUAGGGGCGGGGUCUUCUCCAGAGGAGCGCUGCAGUAUAGAAUCCAGCCGCAGCAGCUCCAAAAACGUUAGACGUUCGCGAAGAAAGAUACACAAUGAUGUGUCCUGAUAAGUAAAUUGAAGCUGAUCAAUAUUGUUGUGCAAGGUGACGUAAGGGCAAAGCCUCUCCGGGUGAGCCCCGUCUGAUUUUAACCGCACCUCUAGCGCUCAGUUCCCAAGCGCCUGGACGGCCUCCACCUCUCCUUCUGCCUCGCGGCUUCCUUGUCUCUGCUCAGGAGAUAUCAAGCUGAAACCCAGCGGGAGAGGAGCUCGCCAGUCACAGCAAGAAGACCGUGGUUUUGAAAAGGAGAGAACUCUCCCAUCAAAUAGGAAAAAUAUAUCAAUUUUAGACAGAGGAGAGCUAAGAAAGUUUUAGAAAGGAGAGAACCAAGGCGCAGAGAGGUGGCGUGGCUUACCCUAGAGCGCAUACUGAGUCGGAGUUUCUCCCACUAGCUCCAUGUAGAGAUGGCUCCUCUUCACCACUAUAAGACCAGCAAGAAGGACCUAGAUGGUAGAGGAAUUGUCUUCCUCCCCUAAACCAGAAUUCACCAUCCAUCACAGAGGCAGACAACCAGGGACAUGGAUCUGUGGAUUCUUUUAUCUCACCAUCCACCUCUCUGCAAGGAGCCUCACAAGGCCAAACACAGGCUGGUGGGAAGGUGCCAACCAGCAAGGCUACAU